UACGUAGGGUGCGAGCGUUACUCGGAAUUACUGGGCGUAAAGAGCUCGUAGGCGGUUUGUCGCGUCUGCUGUGAAAACUCGGGGCUUAACUCCGGGCCUGCAGUGGGUACGGGCAGACUAGAGUGCGGUAGGGGAGACUGGAAUUCCUGGUGUAGCGGUGAAAUGCGCAGAUAUCAGGAAGAACACCCGUGGCGAAGGCGGCUCUCUGGUACGUGACUGACGCUGAGACGCGAAAGCGUGGGGAGCAAACAGG
rnacentral:rRNA from 1 species